CAUCGUAAUUCAGAUAAGUCGUUUUCCUGUUCCUCUUGUCGUUUACCAUUGAAUGGUUUCAGCCCAAGAUCGAGAGAUCAAAAUCUAAAAUCACCUUACCAUACCUAAGCGUUGUCAAUUGUAUGCUGCAAAGAAAUUGCAAAAAUAUAAACUGGAAGAUUGUUGAAUAAAAGAAUAACAACUUGAUUUCUUGAUAUUGCUUUUUUUUUUUUCUCAAGGUUGAACACGGUCAGAUGUAUUGAAAGAAAGGGCGGACGUUUUGGAUUGUAGUAUCUUACCCUCGCCCUGUGGAAGCGGAUGACAUUGGAAACAUCUUUAAGACAAAGUGCAGCCAUUUUGGAUAACGGGUAAACACUAAGGUUUAGGAAAGAAAGCCUGUGCAGCCAUUUUAAUUUGACUCCAGUGUAGCUUUCGGAUUCUGGUGGAACUAAAUUGAAAACAUGUAUUUGAGUCAGGUUCAAUGGAGACAUCCUUUGAGAUAAAAGUGUAGCCAUGUUGGAUCGCAGUGUGUUAGCCUUAAAUCCUGGCGCAAGUUGGCAGUCACUGGAAACACCUCAUUUCAGGUAAGUUUCUCUCUCAGUCGAUCAUUUACCGUUGAUGAACAGUUUCAGUCCAAAGAGUGAUUCAAAUCUUAUAUCUUCUCUCCACAUCAAUGCCUUGUUAACUUAGAGAGGAAAUAUGUUGUCGAUAAAUUGAUUUGCGAGGUCAACGCUACUCUCCAUCAAACUGUUUUACCUUAGUUUACUAAAAAUUUAAGCCCCAUUCAACGACAUAUUAAAGACAUUAACAGAAUGAAAAACACGGCGGUGUUAAUCAUUAAAGAAUAAUUUUCAGUGAGAACAUUGUGAGAAAAAAAAGAUUGAUUAUAA